GACGAACGCUGGCGGCGUGCUUAACACAUGCAAGUCGAACGGAAAGGCCCUGCUUGCAGGGUACUCGAGUGGCGAACGGGUGAGUAACACGUGGGUGAUCUGCCCUGCACUUCGGGAUAAGCUUGGGAAACUGGGUCUAAUACCGGAUAGGAACCAUCUUUAGUGUGGUGGUUGGAAAGUUUUUUCGGUGUAGGAUGAGCUCGCGGCCUAUCAGCUUGUUGGUGGGGUAAUGGCCUACCAAGGCGGCGACGGGUAGCCAGCCUGAGAGGGUGUACGGCCACAUUGGGACUGAGAUACGGCCCAGACUCCUACGGGAGGCAGCAGUGGGGAAUAUUGCACAAUGGGCGCAAGCCUGAUGCAGCGACGCCGCGUGGGGGAUGAAGGCCUUCGGGUUGUAAACUCCUUUCGCUAGGGACGAAGCUUUUUGUGACGGUACCUAGAGAAGAAGCACCGGCUAACUACGUG
rnacentral:rRNA from 1 species